AGAGUUUGAUCCUGGCUCAGAUUGAACGCUGGCGGCAGGCCUAACACAUGCAAGUCGAGCGGAUGAAGGGAGCUUGCUCCCUGAUUUAGCGGCGGACGGGUGAGUAAUGCCUAGGAAUCUGCCUGGUAGUGGGGGAUAACGUUCCGAAAGGAACGCUAAUACCGCAUACGUCCUACGGGAGAAAGCAGGGGACCUUCGGGCCUUGCGCUAUCAGAUGAGCCUAGGUCGGAUUAGCUAGUUGGUGAGGUAAUGGCUCACCAAGGCGACGAUCCGUAACUGGUCUGAGAGGAUGAUCAGUCACACUGGAACUGAGACACGGUCCAGACUCCUACGGGAGGCAGCAGUGGGGAAUAUUGGACAAUGGGCGAAAGCCUGAUCCAGCCAUGCCGCGUGUGUGAAGAAGGUCUUCGGAUUGUAAAGCACUUUAAGUUGGGAGGAAGGGCAGUAAGCUAAUACCUUGCUGUUUUGACGUUACCGACAGAAUAAGCACCGGCUAACUUCGUGCCAGCAGCCGCGGUAAUACGAAGGGUGCAAGCGUUAAUCGGAAUUACUGGGCGUAAAGCGCGCGUAGGUGGUUCGUUAAGUUGGAUGUGAAAGCCCCGGGCUCAACCUGGGAACUGCAUCCAAAACUGGCGAGCUAGAGUACGGUAGAGGGUGGUGGAAUUUCCUGUGUAGCGGUGAAAUGCGUAGAUAUAGGAAGGAACACCAGUGGCGAAGGCGACCACCUGGACUGAUACUGACACUGAGGUGCGAAAGCGUGGGGAGCAAACAGGAUUAGAUACCCUGGUAGUCC
rnacentral:rRNA from 1 species